rnacentral:rRNA from 1 species
AUACGUAGGGGGCGAGCGUUGUCCGGAAUGAUUGGGCGUAAAGGGCGCGUAGGCGGCCCGGUAAGUCUGGAGUGAAAGUCCUGUUUUUAAGAUGGGAAUUGCUUUGGAUACUGUCGGGCUUGAGUGCAGGAGAGGUAAGUGGAAUUCCCUGUGUAGCGGUGAAAUGCGUAGAGAUUGGGAGGAACACCAGUGGCGAAGGCGACUUACUGGACUGUAACUGACGCUGAGGCGCGAAAGUGUGGGGAGCAAACAGGAUUAGAUACCCUGGUAGUCCACACUGUAAACGAUGAAUGCUAGGUGUAGGGGGUAUCGACCCCUUCUGUGCCGCAGUCAACACAAUAAGCAUUCCGCCUGGGGAGUACGGCCGCAAGGUUGAAACUCAAAUGAAUUGGCGGGG